rnacentral:rRNA from 1 species
AUUGAACGCUGGCGGCAGGCCUAACACAUGCAAGUCGAGCGGAUGAAGGGAGCUGGCUCCUGGAUUCAGCGGCGGACGGGUAAGUAAUGCCUAGGAAUCUGCCUGGUAGUGGGGGAUAACGUCCACAACCGGGCGCUAAUACCGAAUCCGUCCUGAGGGAGAAAAUGGGGGAUCUUCGGACCUCACGCUAUCAGAUGAGCCUAGGUCGGAUUAGCUAGUUGGUGGGGUAAAGGCUUACCAAGGCGACGAUCCGUAACUGGUCUGAGAGGAUGAUCAGUCACACUGGAACUGAGACACGGUCCAGACUCCUACGGGAGGCAGCAGUGGGGAAUUUUGGACAAUGGGCGAAAGCCUGAUCCAGCCAUGCCGCGUGUGUGAAGAAGGUCUUAGGAUUGUAAAGCACUUUAAGUUGGGAGGAAGGGCAGUAAGUUAAUACCUUGCUGUUUUGACGUUACCAACAGAAUAAGCACCGGCUAACUUCGUG